UGUAAAAAAAAUAUGAUUAGAAAAAAUUAGUGAUUAUGCUGGCUUCUGGUUUACAAGGGAGCAUAAUAUUGUUAUAGGAUUCUCCUGUAGCUCCAUGACUGCAACCGCUCAGUUGAUCCAGAUUCAUUGAAAUGGCUUGCCAACUGCUCUCCAACAGCUCUAUUGUUUCACGAUUGCAACGGCUCCAUAACUAUUAGCACUGAAACAAACAUUAUUACCGUUGGGGAAAAAACACAGCUCUGUUGUUUCACGAUUGCAACGGCUCCAUGACUGUUAGCACUGGAAAAAAGCAUUACUACCGUUGGGAAAAACACAGCUCUGUUGUUUCACGAUUGCAACGGCUCCAUGACUGUUAGCACUGGAAAAAAAGCAUUACUACAGUUGGGAAAAACACAGCUCUGUUGUUUCACGAUUGCAACGGCUCCAUGACUGUUAGCACUGGAAAAAAGCAUUAGUACCGUUGGGAAAAUCAUUAGUACCGUUAAAGAAAAACCCUUAUAUAUACGACUAGUGUAGUUGGAGAGAGUGUAAUGGCUCUGACGGUUUUCUCGGGCGCCCUAUUUUUGCCUUAUGUUUGCCCGAGAGAAGCCCUAUGUUUCCCGUAGAGUUUCAGCCCUGUGGUGUAGUUGGAGAGAGUGUAAUGGCUCUGAGGGUUUUCUCUGGCGCCCUAGUUUUGCCUUAUGUUUCAGCCGGUGAGGGUUUGCCGAGACGUCCGAAUUGUUCAGCAGCAUUUUCCAUGACACGCGCUCGUCGUGUGGGUCGCCUUCUGUUACACAGAAGCGGUUCAACGACAACACAAGAAUUGCUCUGCAUUUAAUAGUGCCUACAUUAAUUAGAAAUCUCCGUUUCUUGGGUUUUCGACUGUUCGGACUUUACUUAUUCCUUGUCUUCUCCUAAUUUGCUCUUCUUGGGUUUCUGACUGUUUGGAUUUUACCUAUUUCUGUCUUCUUCUAAUUUGCUUUUCUUGGGUUUCUGACUGUUUGGAUUUUACUUAUUUCAGUCUUCUUCUAUUUUGUUUUUCUUGGGUUUCUGACUGUUCGGAUUUUACUUAUUCCUUUCUUCUCCAUAUUCGCUUUUCUUGGUUUUUUGACUCUUCGGUUUUACCUUCCAAUAGGUGAGUAUUUAUUCUUUUUCCAUUCAGUACAACCACAAUGUUCAUAUUUAUUCUUUGUACAUCAUAUUUAUGAGAGGAAUUCGUUUAUUCAUGGCCGCUCUAUUGAAUAAAAUUGAAUAAAGUGCUAGCUAAUAAGCCCAUUGCUUUCCAGUCUUUAUGCAAUUUGUGUGCUUCAAUCUUUUUUUCUGAAUGAUCUGAAAGCAUCUUCUGUGAACAUUGUGGUAGUUAUCUUUCCCCAAUUAAAAUUGUAUUUUAAGAAGACACUUGCAUGAUACAGAAUGACAUUCAUGUCUUUAUGUAUAGAAAUAAAUAAAUCAGUCAGGAUAAUUUGACAGUCGACCUAACCGCUCAAGCAAGAUUUCUAUGCUGUCAAAAUCAAGUAUCAUUCCAGCCGUGAUAUGCUCUGGGAAAGACACUAUCAGAGAGGACAGCGUGGGCUCUGGCCAUGGACAGACGCGUAAUUGUUGUGACAAUUAAUGCAGGUCUCGCUGUAGGGCCUGGCUUCUGCAUACAAAACCUCAGUAUCCACCAUAGCAUAUCUCAAAGGUAACACCUCGAUUAUGUCCAUUUUGUUUAAGUAAACUUUGUUUCAGAAUUUGUGCAGUAUUACUUAAUAUAGGAGAUGUUCCUAGGUUAAAUUCUCUGCUUUUGUUUAGUAAAACGGACCAUGGUUCAUCGUUUAUGAGCUAAUCAGAUCGAUUUGUUUGAAAUUGCUCAGUUUCUGGUUUUCUGAUAUUACAUAUAUUGUUAAUAAUUGUAAUUUCUCCACUGGAUGCAUCAGUUGUUUUACCCCUUUUCCUGUGGAUGACUAGAAUCAAGCAUUCUAUGCUAUUUAACUUCUCUGUAAGCCCUCUCACUCAUCAUCAGGAAAUUGGCUUUUACUAAUUCAUUUGACGUGCCAGAGGCAAUUGGCACUAUUGAUUAGUAUAGUAUCUUUGCCAUGUUUGUAGAGUUAUGCCUAGAGUAUUUCAAUUGCUAUCGCAGUCAAUGCAUAGCAUUGUUAUACUUUUGAAUUAAUUGUUGAAAUUGAUCAACUAAUUUGUAAAACAAUAUGUAAAUAGAUUUGUUGUUUAAUACAAAAUUUUAAUUUGGGAGGGGUUGAAUUUGCCCCCUCCUUAAGAUUGGAGGGAAUGACCACUGGCCAUGGUCAUUCUUUUCAGUCUAAUGUUUCUUGUUGAUUUUUAUAUUGAAAUAAUUUAAACUUACUUUUUAUUCA